CUCAGCUGCAGAAGUCACACCUCCACAUGGCCCCGCCAGAUAGCCGUAACUGGUGAACUAAGCUGACUUCUGCCCCGGUCAAGAGAGGACAGAAUCUACAUCUAGCAUGUCAAGCUGUGGGAAGUAAUGAGACAGCCACGAGACAAAAGCUUUCAACUUAUUUCUAGAAAUCUUAACAUCUGUGGCAGAGAGAACCAGACAAUGAAAUUAGAAGUACAAGACAUUAAAAUGUGUUUAAAGUCAUCAGAGCAUUGUAAAAUUAUAGCUUCUGACUUUAGACUGUGUGACCUUUUUGAUGUCUGCUGAAAUGAGAACCAAUGUUACUGACUCUGAAAGCAACCGUGUGGCAUAAUGGGAAUUCUAUCUCCAGUACAGUUUACUUCUGGCUUCUUUUGCAAAUGAUCCUCAUAUGAAAAUAUCUACAAUUACAGUAGUUACUUUACAAGAAAAGCCUUUUGGACUGUAAA